UCUCAGAAAAUAGAAGAGGAAUUGAGUGAGAAGAAGUAGAGGAAGCUUCUAGAAGUGGCAGUGAAGAGGAACACGAGAGAGUAAGAAAAAGAUAGAGAUCGACGAGGUUCAACCGAACCAAGCCGCCGCCGCCGCCGCCGUGGCCGAAGCCGCCGAUGAAUCUGUUCGUUGCUUGAAGUUCUCCUGCUGCUCCCUUUUGUAUUCAUCUCCUUUGUUUGUUUGGGCCUUGGCAUGGAUUAGCAAUUGAGUCAGCCCAUGUGUAGCUCAAUGGGUUCCUGACAGGUUCGUGGAACUGAUUGUUUUCAUCUCAGACUUGAAUCCAACAGUUGUGCAAGAUGAAAGUUGGCUUUAGUUCGAGCUUCUUUCUUCUGAUGUUUGUGGCGUGGUUUCUCUGAAGGACUGGCGAGUAUAAUCAAUAAUUUGGCUUCUUAACAGGAAUCUUCACUACAGAGUUAUUAUUGUAUGGCAUAGUUACUUACUGGGUUUUGCUGAAGUGCUCACUAUCUCGAUGCUACUCAGGCAUCCGUGUCAAUGAAAUGCGGUUUGGUGGUAGUGUGCUGUUUUUGCAUUUUUUUUUUAGAGAAGGGUAUAUUUACCCGGACUCUACAUCCAACUGGAUAUAUGUGCUCCUAUGGAGAUUUGAACUCAGGACCUUGGGGUGCUACUCAGGUCACUGCAACCACUAGGCUACAUGCCCUUUCGCACUGUUUUUGCAUAUAUUUUCAACAAUUGUUGUCUGCAUGAAUGGCAGUCUGGUACUCUGGCAGAAAUGAAGUGAAGAAAUCAAGCAUGGUGUUUCCAAAUUUUAUACUAGAAAGUGUGGUACAUCCCGAUACUUUUUCAAGGAUGGUAAAAUUACCCAUUUGGUGAAUAGAUCAAUAUGACCCUAAAAGUUUUUCUACCCUCUGAUAUCAGAACAUUUGCAGCGUAUGAUACUUGCUUGAGAAUCUUGAGAUCAUGGUUUACUCGUGUUGGAAGCAGGUAAAAAGCACAAACAUUGGCUUCAACUGGAAACUGCAUUGACGAGAUGACUGCGAUGAGUGUGCUGGUUUCCGACGGGAUUCAAAGCCCUACAGUAAUAGACCCGUAAUCAUGGAAAUAUGCCAUUCCUGGCUGAUAUGAGCCGAAGCACAUCAUUGAUUUCCUGAAUUUAGUGAUGUCAGGAGACCACAGAGGAUUGGUACCAUUCAUACCAACAAUCAAUGGGUGGCUCUGAGUGUAAUCAACAAUAUCUUCUUGAUGGGGAAUCUCCACUACAACGUUGUUCUAUUUUGUCUUGGUUUUGUAUGUUCUGUUCUAGUGAAGCAGAACAAAUUCCAACUUGAAAUCUUGACUGAAUUAGUACUCCUGUAUCUAUGUUUUAGUAUUGUGUGUUUAUCUUAUCUAAACAUAAUAGACACCCCCAUACUUAUUGUAAUGCACAAGCACUGGCACGCUGUAUUGCUCAUCGUUUCGAUGUUUCUCUGACAGUGGAUGCA